AGUCUGUGAUGAUAGAGAUAAGAGUAGUGGACAGAAGAGAUUUCUGAACAAAAGUAUGCUGAGACU
ensembl:snoRNA small nucleolar RNA SNORD75